AUGCUCAGCCUCCUUACUAAGUGUGCCCUGUACCAUCUUGAGACUCUGCAGAGAGUCCCACUAGCAAGCAGAGAGUCCCACUAGCAAGCAGACUCUCACCAGAGGCAGCCCCUUGACUUGGACUUCUGAGCCACCAUAACUGUGGAGAGUCGGAUGCGAUCCAGAUCUUGAGCCCCUAGUGCAGGGAAAAAGGAUACAUAAGGUUCCUUUCCAAUCGUGCAUGUGCUGACUUCAGCCAACACUCUCAAGGAUGGCCUGCCUUCAAAUAAUUCAACAGUACUUAGGGCGGGCACAGUGGCUCAUGCGGUAAUUCCAGCACUUUGAGAGGCCAAGAAUAACAUGACUGGAGAACAUAUAUUGUGGAUCCCAUUCAACAGAUGAUGAAACCAAGAGUCUGAUGGACUUGCUGAAUGAAGGAUGCAGACGUUUGGACUCUAAGACCAGUAUGGCUUCCAUCUCAUCCUGUUGCCAGUUGUCCCUUAUGCACUCAAAAUCUCAAUUUAUAAACAGGACUGUCGGUUUCAUGAAGGCGUGUCUCUGUGAUGUUCAUUAGUGCCACUUGUGCCUAAAAUGAGUGAAGUUAGGGAGCACUACAC
rnacentral:antisense_RNA from 1 species